AUUUUCGACGUUUCUAAGGCGUGGCUUCAACGUUUGUUUUUAAAAUUUUAAAAAUAAACGUUGAAGCCACGCCUUAGAAACGUCGAAAAUCUG